UACGUAGGGGGCAAGCGUUGUCCGGAUUUAUUGGGCGUAAAGAGCGUGUAGGCGGCCAGGUAGGUCUGCUGUGAAAACUCGAGGCUUAACCUCGAGCUGUCGGCGGAAACCAUCUGGCUAGAGUCCGGAAGAAGAGAAUGGAAUUCCCGGUGUAGCGGUGAAAUGCGCAGAUAUCGGGAAGAACACCCGUGGCGAAGGCGGUUCUCUGGGACGGUACUGACGCUGAGACGCGAAAGCGUGGGGAGCGAACAGG
rnacentral:rRNA from 1 species